GACCGGAUAGCGUAUCGGCAACACAUCUGCCAGUACGGUAACGCAGACGAGCCCUGUUCGAUUCAGGGUCCGGUCA